rnacentral:lncRNA from 1 species
UUAUGUUUCUAAGUUUUGGGUCACAAUUGAGCCUUAAUGAAUUUAUUUGACCAAUUUUCGUAUUUAAUGACAUAUUGACACCUUCUCAUUGCGCAGACUAUAACUUGAGCUACGGAUAUCGGAUUGAGGCGCGGGAAGAUGUGUUGGAAAGCUAAGAUAAAGAGCUACAACUUUCUUGUUGAUGUCGAAAUCCAGUUCAGAGCGAAAAGGAGUCGUUUAUUCACAUUUAUGUUCCAGACUUAGUGAUAAUAAUGUAAUUUCGGGUUAAACUUCUAAUUUUCGGCCUGAUACUUUUAGAGCCCGUUUCCCAUGU